rnacentral:tRNA from 1 species
GCAGCUAAAUAGCUGGUGAAACUGUAAAUCGGGACGUUCCGGGACACUCACGAAAAAGGGACUCUAGCACAGUGGGUUCCCGGUUCAAGUCCGGGGGGGUGCACCA